rnacentral:rRNA from 1 species
UUAAAAAGCUCGUAGUUGAACCUUGGGCCUGGCUGACCUGUCCUCCUAAUCGAGCGCACGGGUUCGGUCGGGCCUUUCCUUCUGGGGAUCCCGAUGCCCUUCACUGGGCGUCGUGGGGAACCAUGACUUUUACCUUGAAAAAAUUAGAGUGUUCAAAGCAGGCCUUUGCUCGAAUACAUUAGCAUGGAAUAAUAGAAUAGGACAGAGGUUCUAUUUUGUUGGUUUCUAGGACCGCUGUAAUGAUUAAUAGGGAUAGUCGGGGG